UCACUUUGGCGGUGCAUAUAUAAUAUUGGGAACAUUGCAGAGACGAUUAGCAUGGCCCUUGUGCAAAGAUGACGUGCAAGCUGAUGAAGUGUUUUUUGUUUGG
rnacentral:snRNA from 1 species